GACGAACGCUGGCGGCGUGCUUAACACAUGCAAGUCGAACGGAAAGGCCCUGCUUUUGUGGGGUGCUCGAGUGGCGAACGGGUGAGUAAAACGUGAGUAACCUGCCCUUGACUUUGGGAUAACUUCAGGAAACUGGGGCUCAUACCGGGUAGGAGCUCCUGCUGCAUGGUGGUGGUUGGAAAGUUUCGGCGGUUGGGGAUGGACUAGCGGCUUAUCAGCUUGUUGGUGGGGUAGUGGAUUACCAAGGUUUUGACGGGUAGCCCGCCUGAGAGGGUGAGCGGCCACAUUGGGACUGAGAUGAGGCCCAGACUGCUACGGGAGGCAGCAGUGGGGAAGAUUGCACAAGGGGCGGAAGCCUGAUGCAGCAACGCCGCGUGCGGGAUGACGGCCUUCGGGUUGUAAACCGCUUUCGCCUGUGACGAAGCGUGAGUGACGGUAAUGGGUAAAGAAGCACCGGCUAACUACGUG
rnacentral:rRNA from 1 species